UACGAGGGGGGGCGAGCGUUGUUCGGAAUUAUUGGGCGUAAAGGGUGCGUAGGCGGCCUGACAAGUCUGAUGUGAAAUCCCUGGGCUCAACCCAGGGCCUGCAUCGGAAACUGUCGGGCUUGAGUAUGGGAGAGGUGAGUGGAAUUUCCGGUGUAGCGGUGAAAUGCGUAGAUAUCGGAAGGAACACCUGUGGCGAAAGCGGCUCACUGGACCAUUACUGACGCUGAUGCACGAAAGCUAGGGGAGCAAACAGG
rnacentral:rRNA from 1 species